rnacentral:rRNA from 1 species
UACGGGGGGAGCAAGCGUUGUUCGGAUUUACUGGGCGUAAAGGGCGCGUAGGCGGCGCAACAAGUCACUUGUGAAAUCUCCGGGCUUAACCCGGAGCGGCCAAGUGAUACUGUCGUGCUAGAGUGCGGAAGGGGCUACUGGAAUUCUCGGUGUAGCGGUGAAAUGCGUAGAUAUCGAGAGGAACACCUGCGGCGAAGGCGGGUAGCUGGGCCGACACUGACGCUGAGGCGCGAAAGCCAGGGGAG